CCGAGCCAGAGACUGUGCUGUUCUGACAAUCCCAUCUAUACCUAAGGUCUCGGGUCCUGUCCCCAUGCUUCUCUACAGCCUGGAGCCCUCUGAAUGAUUUCCCUUCACUGGCCCUGUCUGGGCAGAGCACAACCCUCAGCGGCAGAAUAAUUGGUUCAGAAAAAGGUAUCCCUGCUGGUAUCACUGUCAGCUUGUUGCCAUCUGCCACCCACCACCAUGACAUUCCUUUAGCUUCUGACUGGACAGGAGGAGGACAGAGAGUGGUACAUCCUGAUUGGACAGGGGGAGGACAGAGAGUGGUACAUCCUGAUUGGACAGGGGGAGGACAGAGAGUGGUACAUCCUGAUUGGACAGGAGGAGGACAGAGAGUGGUACAUCCUGAUUGGACAGAGGGAGGACAGAGAGUGGUACAUCCUGAUUGGACAGAGGGAGGACAGAGAGUGGUACAUCCUGAUUGGACAGAGGGAGGACAGA
rnacentral:lncRNA from 13 species